GGGUGCGAUCAUACCAGCGUUAAUGCACCGAAUCCCAUCAGAACUCCGCAGUUUAGCGCGCUUGGGCUAGAGUAGUACUGGGAUGGGUGACCUCCCGGGAAGUCCUAGUGUUGCACCCUC
rnacentral:rRNA from 1 species